AGGGACGGGAGAGGUGCAGAGAGAGAGAGAGAAGUAGAGGAGAGGAGGUCGGGACGGAGAGGUGCAUAGAGAGAGAGGAGUAGAGGAGAGGAUGACGGGACGGGAGAGGUGCAGAGAGAGGGAGGAGUAGAGGAGAGGAGGACGGGACGGGAGAGAAACAGAGAGAGAGAGGAGUAGAGGAGAGGAGGACGGGACGGGAGAGGAGAGAGAGAGAGGAGUAGAGGGGAGGAGGACGGGACGGGAGAGGUGCAGAAAGAGAGAGAGAGAGAGAGAGAGGAGCAGAGCAGAGGUGGACAGGACGGGAGAGGUGCAGAGAGAGGGGAGUAGAGGAGAGGAGGACGGGACGGGAGAGGUGCAGAGAGAGAGAGGAGUAGAGGAGAGGAGGAUGGGAGGGGAGAGGUGCAGAGAGAGGGGAGUAGAGGAGAGGAGGACGGGACGGGAUGUGAGAGGUGCAGAGAGGGGGAGAGAGAGCGGAGUGGAGGAGAGGUGGAUGGGACGGGGGAGGUGCAGAGAGGGGGUGAGAGAGAGGAGUGGAGGAGAGGAGGACGGGACGGGAGAGGUGCAGAGAGAGUGGAGUAGAGGAGAAGAGUAGAGGAGAGGAGGACGGGACGGGAGA
ensembl:lncRNA